GCGAAAACUUUACAAUGCUGGCAACAGCGAUAAGGGAACCUCGAGUGCCAGGUUACAAAUCUGGCUGUCGAGAUGCCUAAAAAGCAUGUCAUAGCAAGGGCCGGGCAAGACCGGUGCCAGCCGCCGCGGUAACACCGGCGGCUCGAGUGGUAACCGUUAUUAUUGGGUCUAAAGGGUCUGUAGCCGGCCGGAUAAGUCUCUUGAGAAAUCUGGCAGCUUAACUGUCAGGCUUUUAGGAGAUACUGUCUGGCUCGAGGCCGGGAGAGGUGAGAGGUACUUCAGGGGUAGGGGUGAAAUCUUGUAAUCCUUGAAGGACCACCAGUGGCGAAGGCGUCUCACCAGAACGGACCUGACGGCAAGGGAUGAAAGCUAGGGGCACGAACC
rnacentral:rRNA from 1 species